rnacentral:rRNA from 1 species
AAGCGUGCGCAGGCGGUUUUGUAAGUUUGUCGUGAAAUCCCCGGGCUCAACCUGGGAAUGGCGAUGAAGACUGCAAGGCUAGAGUUUGGCAGAGGGGGGUAGAAUUCCACGUGUAGCAGUGAAAUGCGUAGAUAUGUGGAGGAACACCGAUUGGCGAAGGCAGCCCCCUGGGUCAAAACUGACGCUCAUGCACGAAAGCGUGGGGAGCAAACAGGAUUAGAUACCCUUGU